UGCGUAGGCGGAAUAUUAAGUCAGUGGUGAAAUCCCAGAGCUCAACUCUGGAACUGCCAUUGAAACUGGUAUUCUUGAAUAUAGUUGAGGUAGGCGGAAUGUGUAAUGUAGCGGUGAAAUGCUUAGAUAUUACACAGAACACCGAUUGCGAAGGCAGCUUACUAAGCUAUGAUUGACGCUGAUGCACGAAAGCGUGGGGAGCGAACAGGAUUAGAUACCCUGGUAGUCC
rnacentral:rRNA from 1 species